rnacentral:rRNA from 1 species
GAUGAACGCUGGCGGCGUGCCUAAUACAUGCAAGUCGAGCGAACAGAUGAGGAGCUUGCUCCUCUGACGUUAGCGGCGGACGGGUGAGUAACACGUGGAUAACCUACCUAUAAGACUGGGAUAACUUCGGGAAACCGGAGCUAAUACCGGAUAAUAUAUUGAACCGCAUGGUUCAAUAGUGAAAGACGGUUUUGCUGUCACUUAUAGAUGGAUCCGCGCCGCAUUAGCUAGUUGGUAAGGUAACGGCUUACCAAGGCAACGAUGCGUAGCCGACCUGAGAGGGUGAUCGGCCACACUGGAACUGAGACACGGUCCAGACUCCUACGGGAGGCAGCAGUAGGGAAUCUUCCGCAAAGGGCGAAAGCCUGACGGAGCAACGCCGCGUGAGUGAUGAAGGUCUUCAGAUCGUAAAACUCUGUUAUUAGGGAAGAACAAAUGUGUAAGUAACUAUGCACGUCUUGACGGUACCUAAUCAGAAAGCCACGGCUAACUACGUG